rnacentral:rRNA from 1 species
GAUGAACGCUAGCGGGAGGCUUAACACAUGCAAGUCGAGGGGCAGCAUAGGGUAGCAAUACUCUGAUGGCGACCGGCAAACGGGUGAGUAACGCGUAUGCAACCUACCCUGUACAGAGGGAUAACCCGGAGAAAUUCGGACUAAUAUCCCGUAAUAAUAUCCGGAGGCAUCUUUGGAUAUUUAAAGUUCCGACGGUACGGGAUGGGCAUGCGUAACAUUAACUGGUUGGUAAGGUAACGGCUUACCAAGGCUAUGAUGUUUAGGGGUCCUGAGAGGGUGGUCCCCCACACUGGUACUGAGACACGGACCAGACUCCUACGGGAGGCAGCAGUGAGGAAUAUUGGUCAAUGGGCGCAAGCCUGAACCAGCCAUCCCGCGUGCAGGAAGACGGCCCUAUGGGUUGUAAACUGCUUUUCCAGGGAGAGAAACUUACGCACGUGUUGCGUGACUGACGGUACCCUGGGAAUAAGCAUCGGCUAACUCCGUGC